rnacentral:rRNA from 1 species
UCCAGAGAUGGAUUGGUGCCUUCGGGAACUGUGAGACAGGUGCUGCAUGGCUGUCGUCAGCUCGUGUUGUGAAAUGUUGGGUUAAGUCCCGCAACGAGCGCAACCCUUAUCCUUUGUUGCCAGCGGUUAGGCCGGGAACUCAAAGGAGACUGCCAGUGAUAAACUGGAGGAAGGUGGGGAUGACGUCAAGUCAUCAUGGCCCUUACGACCAGGGCUACACACGUGCUACAAUGGCAUAUACAAAGAGAAGCGACC